rnacentral:tRNA from 26 species
GGAGAGAUGGCCGAGCGGU